rnacentral:tRNA from 2 species
CGAGGUGUAGCGCAGUUUGGUAGCGCGUUUGGUUCGGGACCAAAAGGUCGCAGGUUCGAAUCCUGUCACCUCGACCA